rnacentral:rRNA from 1 species
GAUAAGCCUGGGAAACUGGGUCUAAUACCGGAUAGGAGCCAUUUUUAGUGUGAUGGUUGGAAAGUUUUUUCGGUGUAGGAUGAGCUCGCGGCCUAUCAGCUUGUUGGUGGGGUAAUGGCCUACCAAGGCGGCGACGGGUAGCCGGCCUGAGAGGGUGGACGGCCACAUUGGGACUGAGAUACGGCCCAG